rnacentral:rRNA from 1 species
GAUGAACGCUGGCGGCGUGCCUAAUACAUGCAAGUCGAACGGGGAAAGUCUUCGGAUGAGUACUAGUGGCGCACGGGUGAGGAACACGUAGAUAAUCUGCCCCUAGGCGGGGAAUAACUGGUCGAAAGAUCAGCUAAUACCGCAUAAGACCACGACUUCUGAGGAAGGUGGGGUUAAAGGCUUCGGCCACCUAGGGAUGAGUCUGCGUCCGAUUAGCUAGUUGGUGAGGUAAGAGCUCACCAAGGCGACGAUCGGUAACUGGUCUGAGAGGAUGACCAGUCACACUGGGACUGAGAUACGGCCGAGACUCCUACGGGAGGCAGCAGUAGGGAAUAUUGCACAAUGGAGGAAACUCUGAUGCAGCGACGCCGCGUGAGUGAUGAAGGCCCUCGGGUUGUAAAGCUCUGUUCUUAGGGAAUAAAAAAUGAAGGUACCUAAGGAGAAAGGACCGGCUAACUUCGUGCCAGCCGCCGCGGUAA